rnacentral:rRNA from 1 species
GAUGAACGCUGACAGAAUGCUUAACACAUGCAAGUCUAUUUGAAGCUAACUUCGGUUAGUGGAUGGUGGCGGACGGGUGAGUAACGCGUAAAGAACUUGCCUCACAGAUUGGGACAACAUUUGGAAACGAAUGCUAAUACCGGAUAUUAUGAUACUUCCGCAUGGAAGAAUCAUGAAAGCUAUAUGCGCUGUGAGAGAGCUUUGCGUCCCAUUAGCUAGUUGGAGAGGUAACGGCUCACCAAGGCGAUGAUGGGUAGCCGGCCUGAGAGGGUGAACGGCCACAAGGGGACUGAGACACGGCCCUUACUCCUACGGGAGGCAGCAGUGGGGAAUAUUGGACAAUGGACCAAAAGUCUGAUCCAGCAAUUCUGUGUGCACGAUGAAGUUUUUCGGAAUGUAAAGUGCUUUCAGUUGGGAAGAAGCAAGUGACGGUACCAACAGAAGAAGCGACGGCUAAAUACGUGCCAGCAGCCGCGGUAAUACGUAUGUCGCAAGCGUUAUCCGGAUUUAUUGGGCGUAAAGCGCGUCUAGGUGGUUAUAUAAGUCUGAUGUGAAAAUGCGGGGCUCAACUCCGUAUUGCGUUGGAAACUGUAUGACUAGAGUACUGGAGAGGUAAGCGGAACUACAAGUGUAGAGGUGAAAUUCGUAGAUAUUUGUAGGAAUGCCGAUGGGGAAGCCAGCUUACUGGACAGAUACUGACGCUAAAGCGCGAAAGCGUGGGUAGCAAACAGG